GUCUGUAGAACCUGACGGAUCCGCCACGAUGCUGAUGCUGUGGACAUUUGCAGUGCUACUGGGAGCAGUAGAUGGUAUUAGUGGUCAAACAGUUGAGAAGCUAGAAUGAAUGAGUCCCUCCAUGGAGCUGGGCAGAGACACCAUGUUUCCCCGAGGCAGAAGUGAGGAUCAGCAGGUUGUCUGCAGCAGAAGCCUUAUCCCGAGACCGUUUUUGUGUGAGCAGGAGAGCGUUUGGGAAAGCAGAGGAAGAAAAUCUGCCACAAGAUGAAAUUUAACUCAUAUUUUGCCUGAGAAAGACCAUUAGAAGGACAUUCUGGUUAAACUAACAUCCUUGAAACACCGGGUGGUUUUAGGACAAGAAGUCUGCUAUGGUAGAACUCUGCUGCUUCGCUGAUGAUUCUCUAAAUGGAGGAACUUUGGAAAGACCUCUCAGAGUGUUGCCCUGGUCUCUAAAAGUGGUCCGCACAUGCUUCCUCCUGUACACGAAAGAGAACCACAAUAGUGUUUAGACUUGUUUUAUGCUCCUGUAAAAGAGUACUACCGACAGUAAAUCGUUUAAAAUGUGAUGCUUAUUUAGCUCACAUAUGUAGAAGAAGGGGACCCUAGAAUCAAAGAUGUAGCCUCUCAAGGCCCCUGGCUGGGCGCUUUCACACCACAUCACAGUAUAGUGAACAAUAUCAUGUGGUGGGAAGCGUGUAAGGACAGAGAUGAGGAAGGGUAGAUUAAGGCACUAUGUAACAACAAAUUUGAAGUUUUGCUCUCUUUAGAAAACAUUCAAAUAUUAUGAGAAUGUGUUUUCGUUUUAAUCCCAGGUGUGGGGUACGGGGCUGCUUCAGAUUAUCCACAGCUGACUAUGAUUUGCCUCGUUCUCUGGUGGGCAUGAUUUUGCCAGCUGCAGAUAGCAAAAUGUGGUUUUGUGACGUUUGGAAUUCUGGGGACUUCUCAGAGAGUGUACAAAUGCUAAGGCCAUUAGAGGCAGGGAAGGUUGGUGUUGCUGUUGCUGGUUGCUGUUGGUCACCAUUGGUUAAGGAGAUAUGCACAAACCAGAAAGAAGAAGAAAUUAGAUGUCCUGACUGUGAAGAUCAAACUUGCCCUUACUCCACACUGCUAAUCAGCAGGAAAUAGCCCUAAUAAUAUGGCCUGCUUUCCUUUCUAGCGUUUUGUUUUUUGUUUUGUUUUUUGUUGUUGUUGUUGUUUUUUGUCUCCUGUCUAGUGUUGGGUUGGGAGGGUGGAGAUAGGUGGUCUAAAAGAAGAACCCACAGAAUCUUAAGAAGCCCGGCUAUAAUACUAUUUCACAAGGAGCCUACUCUUGCAUUUUGCCACCCCAAUUUUCUAACGAUAGCAAUAAUCUUCUCAUGAAGGCACAGUCCCUGGGACCUAAUCACCCAUUAACAGCUCUCCUUCUCAACAUCAUGUCAGUGGUAAUAAAAUUUCAACUAUUCAAACC